UUAAUAAUUAAAGUUAUUUUAAUUUGUGAAGAAACAAUUAUAUAAAUUAAGGACAAGAAGACCCUAAGAAUUUAAGAAUUCUUAUGUUACUUAAAUAUAAAAUAGGAAUUCUUAGUUGGGGCAACUAAAAAACAUUAUAAACUUUUUUUUCUUUA
rnacentral:rRNA from 1 species